UCAGGAAUGUCAAUCGCUGCCUGCAUCACAACAAAACGGGAAAGAAACUAAUAAUCAUAUCAGUCAUUAUUGCUGCAUUUUCAGCAUUUCUGGGUGAACGCGUAAUGAACUUAAGAAAGAAAUGUCAUGCUAAUCGGGAGCUGAUCCAAAACCACCUACCCAAUUGUAAACAUAUCAAAGGCCUUGAAUAUGGAUCAGAAGAUAUCACCAUACUUCCAGAUGGACAGGCACUCAUCAGUACCGUAAGUGGCAAAGUGACUGUGGC